AUUGAACGCUGGCGGCAGGCCUAACACAUGCAAGUCGAGCGGAUGAAGGGAGCUUGCUCCUGGAUUCAGCGGCGGACGGGUGAGUAAUGCCUAGGAAUCUGCCUGGUAGUGGGGGAUAACGUCCGGAAACGGGCGCUAAUACCGCAUACGUCCUGAGGGAGAAGGUGGGGGAUCUUCGGACCUCACGCUAUCAGAUGAGCCUAGGUCGGAUUAGCUAGUUGGUGGGGUAAAGGCCUACCAAGGCGACGAUCCGUAACUGGUCUGAGAGUAUGAUCAGUCACACUGGAACGGAGACACGGUCCAGACUCCUACGGGAGGCAGCAGUGGGGAAUAUGGGACAAGGGGCGAAAGCCUGAUCCAGCCAUGCCGCGUGUGUGAAGAAGGUCUUCGGAUGGUAAAGCACUUUAAGUUGGGAGGAAGGGCAGUAAGUUAAUACCUGGCUGUUUGGACGUUACCAACAGAAUAAGCACCGGCUAACUUCGU
rnacentral:rRNA from 1 species